rnacentral:lncRNA from 1 species
CUGAGUUCUCCCGAGAAGGGCAUGGUUAACUUUCCUUUUUAAGGUGGCAAACUUGGCCCCUAUCUAAGAAUUAUGUGACUUCUUCCUUGCCAAAGAAACCAAGCCCUCUGCCAGGGACUGAGCCAAUCAGUGCUCAGUCCCAGACCUCCCUUCCCAGGGGAGGGUAAAUGAGCAGCCUGAGUCCAGCAGCUUUUUGAGCUCCUGGGUAUCGUGGUGUCAGACACACAGAAAAAAGAGGACAUGAUCAAUAGAUGGAAGAGAAAAUAUUUAAAAGCGUAUGUUAUGAGAAUCCACAGCCUACAGAAGUCGUUGGUACAGAGUUUGAGGCCAGACUGUCUGAUUUGAAUGUAGCUCCUCCAUUGACUACAGGCAAUUGA